rnacentral:rRNA from 1 species
ACGCUCGACACCUACCGGAGGCAGCAGUGGGGAAUAUUGCACAAUGGGGGAAACCCUGAUGCAGCGACGCCGCGUGAGCGAAGAAGUAUUUCGGUAUGUAAAGCUCUAUCAGCAGGGAAGAAACUGACGGUACCUGACUAAGAAGCACCGGCUAAAUACGUGCCAGCAGCUGCGGUAAUCUGAGCGGGCUGGCAAGGC